rnacentral:ncRNA from 2 species
UCGGAAGAUAGAGGUGCAUUUUUUAUCAGUAGGUCCAUUGAGGUAUAUGGGUACCGAUGAUAUGGGCUGAAAGGAAAAAAUGCCGAAGGAAAAUUUCACCCAUAUGGAGUUUUCCUGGUCCUUCAGUGAAUAACUGCUGGACUGUCAUCAAUUUUUCAAUUGAUGGAGCGCUAUCGGUAGU